rnacentral:rRNA from 1 species
GAAAGGAACGAUUGGAGGGCAAGUCUGGUGCCAGCAGCUGCGGUAACUCCAGCUCCGAUAGCGUAAGCUAAAUUUGUUGCGGAUGAAAAGCUCGUAGUCGGAUCUCAGCCCGGGACGGUGGGGCGCGUCAGCGCCCCUUCCGGUCUCGCGGGCUCUGGCCGUUCACCGAACCGCGAUCUUAACCGGUCGUGGCGCGGGGUCCGGUCAGUUUACCUUGAAGAAACUGAAGUGCUCAAAGCAGGCCUGUCGCCCGCACAAGUACGCAUGGAAUAAUGCAAGAGGACCUCGGUUCUAUUGUGUUGGUUUUCGGAACCGGAGGUAAUGAUCGAUAGGAACAGACGGGGGCAUUCGUACUGAGACGCUAGAGGUGAAAUUCUUGGACCGUCGCAGGACGAACUACUGCGAAAGCAUUUGCCAAGAAUGUUUUCAUUGACCAAGAACGAAAGUCAGAGGUUCGAAGGCGAUCAGAUACCGCCGUAGUUCUGACCGUAAACUAUGCCAGCCAGCGAUCCGGUGCUGUUUGA